rnacentral:misc_RNA from 1 species
UCCGGCUUGUCACCGGCAGUCUCGCCAGAGUUCCCAGCAUAACCUGUUGGCAACAGACGAUAAGGGUUGCGCUCGUUGCGGGACUUAACCCAACAUCUCACGACACGAGCUGACGACAGCCAUGCACCACCUGUCACUGGUCCAGCCGAACUGAAGAGAGAUAAUUACAUCUCUCGCGACCAGGAUGUCAAGGGUGGGUAAGGUUCUUCGCGUUGCGUCGAAUUAAACAACAUGCUCCACCGCUUGUGCGGGUCCCCGUCAAUUCCUUUGAGUUUUAACCUUGCGGCCGUACUCCCCAGGCGGUGUGCUUAAUGAUUUCCCUCCGUCACCGAGACCGUAAAGUCCCAACAACUAGCACACAUCGUUUACGGCGUGGACUAC